rnacentral:rRNA from 1 species
AUGUAAAUUUUAUUCAGUAAGACCUGCUCAAUGAAUUUUAAAUAGCCGCAAUUUAGUGCUAAGGUAGCAUAAUAACUUGCCUUGUAAUUUAAGGCUAGCAUGAAAGGUUUAACAUGAUAACUUCUUUAUAAAAAAAAAUUCUUAAAUUUUACCUAUAAGUAAAAAGGCUUAUAUUUUUAAGGGGGACGACAAGACCCUGACGAGCUUUACUUAUUAGUUGCACUGGGGUGGUAAAAAACUAUAUCUUUUUAAAACAUUUCCUUUUAUCCUUAUUAUAAGAUUUUUCAAGUUACCGCAGGGAUAACAGCAUAAUUUUUUUCUAGAGACCUUAUCUAAAAAAAAGAUUGUGACCUCGAUGUUGAAUUAAUU